CUUUCCCUCUUUCUUCCUGCCUUACACAUGCAAGUCGAACGGUAACGAGCCUUCGGGUGCCGACGAGUGGCGAACGGGUGAGUAAUACAUCGGAACGUGCCCGAUCGUGGGGGAUAACGAGGCGAAAGCUUUGCUAAUACCGCAUACGAUCUACGGAUGAAAGCAGGGGACCGCAAGGCCUUGCGCGGACGGAGCGGCCGAUGGCAGAUUAGGUAGUUGGUGGGAUAAAAGCUUACCAAGCCGACGAUCUGUAGCUGGUCUGAGAGGAUGAUCAGCCACACUGGGACUGAGACACGGCCCAGACUCCUACGGGAGGCAGCAGUGGGGAAUUUUGGACAAUGGGCGCAAGCCUGAUCCAGCCAUGCCGCGUGCAGGAUGAAGGCCUUCGGGUUGUAAACUGCUUUUGUACGGAACGAAAAGCCUUCUUUUAAUACAGGAGGGUCAUGACGGUACCGUAAGAAUAAGCACCGGCUAACUACGUG
rnacentral:rRNA from 1 species